AUUGAACGCUGGCGGCAGGCCUAACACAUGCAAGUCGAGCGGAUGAAGGGAGCUUGCUCCUGGAUUCAGCGGCGGACGGGUGAGUAAUGCCUAGGAAUCUGCCUGGUAGUGGGGGAUAACGUCCGGAAACGGGCGCUAAUACCGCAUACGUCCUGAGGGAGAAAGUGGGGGAUCUUCGGACCUCACGCUAUCAGAUGAGCCUAGGUCGGAUUAGCUAGUUGGUGGGGUAAAGGCCUACCAAGGCGACGAUCCGUAACUGGUCUGAGAGGAUGAUCAGUCACACUGGAACUGAGACAAGGUCCAGGCUCCUACGGGAGGCAGCAGUGGGGAAUAUUGGACAAUGGGCGAAAGCCUGAUCCAGCCAUGCCGCGUGUGUGAAGAAGGUCUUCGGAUUGUAAAGCACUUUAAGUUGGGAGGAAGGGCAGUAAGUUAAUACCUUGCUGUUUUGACGUUACCAACAGAAUAAGCACCGGCUAACUUCGUG
rnacentral:rRNA from 1 species